rnacentral:rRNA from 1 species
AGAGUUUGAUCCUGGCUCAGGAUGAACGCUAGCGGGAGGCAUAAUACAUGCAAGUCGAACGAAUCCGCAAGGGUUAGUGGCGGACGGGUGCGUAACACGUACGUAACCUGCCUUUCAGUGGGGGAUACCGUUCCGAAAGGAACGUUAAUACCGCAUAUUACAGAGUGUUCGCAUGGGCGUUCUGUCAAAGCUUUAUGUGCUGAAAGAGGGGCGUGCGGCCGAUUAGGUAGUUGGUGGGGUAACGGCCUACCAAGCCGACGAUCGGUAAUUGGUCUUAGAGGAUGAUCAGUCACACCGGCACUGAGACACGGGCCGGACUCCUACGGGAGGCAGCAGUAGGGAAUAUUGGGCAAUGGGCGCAAGCCUGACCCAGCCAUCCCGCGUGAACGAAGAAGGUCCACAGGAUUGUAAAGUUCUUUUCUCCAAGGAUAAGGCCUCAUGGAUGGGGAUUGAAGGUACUGGAGGAAUAAGCGCCGGCUAACUGCGUGCCAGCAGCCGCGGUAAUACGUAGGGCGCAAGCGUUGUCCGGAUUUACUGGGUUUAAAGGGUGUGUAGGCGGUUUGAUAAGUCGGCGAUGAAAUGUCAGGGCUUAACCUUGGCGCUGUUGCCGAUACUGUUAGACUCGAGAGUGGAUGAGGGGGCUGGAAUGAGCGGUGUAGCGGUGAAAUGCGUAGAUAUCGCUCAGAACACCGAUUGCGAAGGCAGGUCCCUGGGCCACAUCUGACGCUGAGGCACGAAAGCGUGGGGAUCAAACAGGAUUAGAUACCCUGGUAGUCCACGCCCUAAACGAUGGAUACUAGAUAUCGGGCGCAAGUUCGGUGUCCAAGCAAAAGUGAUAAGUAUCCCACCUGGGAAGUACGCUCGCAAGGGUGAAACUCAAAGGAAUUGACGGGGGCCCGCACAAGCGGUGGAGCAUGUGGUUUAAUUCGAUGGUACGCGAGGAACCUUACCCGGGCUAGAAUGCGAGUGACGUUCUCGGAAACGGGAACUCCCUUCGGGGCACAAAGCAAGGUGCUGCAUGGCUGUCGUCAGCUCGUGUCGUGAGAUGUUGGGUUAAGUCCCGCAACGAGCGCAACCCUUGUCGUUAGUUGCCAGCGCGUAAUGGCGGGGACUCUAAUGAGACUGCCUUCGUAAGGGGCGAGGAAGGGGGGGACGACGUCAAGUCAUCAUGGCCCUUACGUCCGGGGCUACACACGUGCUACAAUGGCCAAUACAGGGGGCAGCAAGCCUGCGAAGGCAAGCAAAUCUCUAAAAGUUGGCCUCAGUUCGGAUAGGAGUCUGCAACUCGACUCCUUGAAGUUGGAAUCGCUAGUAAUCGCGCAUCAGCUACGGCGCGGUGAAUACGUUCCCGGGCCUUGUACACACCGCCCGUCAACCCAUGGAAGCUGAAGGCGCCUAAAGUCGGGGGAUCAGAUCCCUGCCUAAGGCGAAUUUGGUAACUAGGGCUAAGUCGUAACAAGGUA